rnacentral:rRNA from 1 species
AGACCCGAAACCCGGUGAUCUAGCCAUGGGCAGGUUGAAGGUUGGGUAACACUAACUGGAGGACCGAACCGACUAAUGUUGAAAAAUUAGCGGAUGACCUGUGGCUGGGGGUGAAAGGCCAAUCAAACCGGGAGAUAGCUGGUUCUCCCCGAAAGCUAUUUAGGUAGCGCCUCGUGAAUUCAUCUCCGGGGGUAGAGCACUGUUUCGGCUAGGGGGCCAUCCCGGCUUACCAACCCGAUGCAAACUGCGAAUACCGGAGAAUGUUAUCACGGGAGACACACGGCGGGUGCUAACGUCCGUCGUGAAGAGGGAAACAACCCAGACCGCCAGCUAAGGUCCCAAAGUCAUGGUUAAGUGGGAAACGAUGUGGGAAGGCCCAGACAGCCAGGAUGUUGGCUUAGAAGCAGCCAUCAUUUAAAGAAAGCGUAAUAGCUCACUGGUCGAGUCGGCCUGCGCGGAAGAUGUAACGGGGCUAAACCAUGCACCGAAGCUGCGGCAGCGACGCUUAUGCGUUGUUGGGUAGGGGAGCGUUCUGUAAGCCUGUGAAGGUGUGUCGUGAGGCAUGCUGGAGGUAUCAGAAGUGCGAAUGCUGACAUAAGUAACGAUAAAGCGGGUGAAAAGCCCGCUCGCCGGAAGACCAAGGGUUCCUGUCCAACGUUAAUCGGGGCAGGGUGAGUCGACCCCUAAGGCGAGGCCGAAAGGCGUAGUCGAUGGGAAACGGGUUAAUAUUCCCGUACUUGGUGUUACUGCGAAGGGGGGACGGAGAAGGCUAUGUUGGCCGGGCGACGGUUGUCCCGGUUUAAGCGUGUAGGUGUGUGUUCCAGGUAAAUCCGGUUCACUUUAACACUGAGGCGUGAUGACGAGGCACUACGGUGCUGAAGUAACAAAUGCCCUGCUUCCAGGAAAAGCCUCUAAGCAUCAGGUAACAU